rnacentral:lncRNA from 1 species
AAAAUGGAGUCCUUGUCCUUUACACCUUGGAGUUCAGAAUCCUGUCUAGUUUUAUAAAAUAGAAACAUCUCAAAGACACUAUUUUCAAGAUAUGUAAGGAAUUUAACAUCUACAAAAGGGAACAAAAAGCUAACUUGCUAUUUUCAUUUGGAAAUACUGCAAAUAUAACUGAGGUAUGCUACACCUCAAUCUAGACACCAAAAAAGAUUCUUAUGGAUUCAAAUCAGCAGCAAUUACUCUUAUGAUUCCCCAAUUUUAUGGGAAAUUGGCCAGAAUAUGGAAGAGGAGUACUGUUCUCUGGCUUACACAGAGAAGUGCUUCCAUGAUAUUGAAAUUUUAAAUGCGUUUUCAAACAUUUGUGUGCAUUUCAAUGAAAUGCCCUGAGCUAACGGUGAAUCUGAGAUCUUACGCCCUUGCUAUACUAAAUGGUUAAUCCUUUUAGGAAAUACUGUGUUCAAAAAUAUUCCAAGUCUACCGCUGAAAUAUAAGU